rnacentral:tRNA from 1 species
GCUGGGGUGGCGGAAUCCGGUAACGCGCUAGACUCGAGAUCUAGUUGGUUGCAAAACCUAUCCGAGUUCAAAUCUCGGCCCCAGCG